GACGAACGCUGGCGGCGUGCCUAAUACAUGCAAGUCGAGCGAAUCUUUUGGGAGCUUGCUCCCUUAAGAUUAGCGGCGGACGGGUGAGUAACACGUGGGUAACCUGCCUGUAAGACUGGGAUAACUUCGGGAAACCGGAGCUAAUACCGGAUAGGUUCUUUUCUCGCAUGAGGGAAGAGGGAAAGAUGGUUCUGCGAUAACUUACAGAUGGACCCGCGGCGAAUUAGCUAGUUGGUGAGGUAAGGGCUCACCAAGGCGACGGUGCGUAGCCGCCCUGAGAGGGUGAUCGGCCACACUGGGACGGAGACACGGCCAAGACUCCUACGGGAGGCAGCAGUAGGGAAUCUUCCGCAAUGGACGAAAGUCUGACGGAGCAACGCCGCGUGAGCGAAGAAGGCCUUCGGGUCGUAAAGCUCUGUUGUUAGGGAAGAACAAGUACGAGAGUAACUGCUCGUACCUUGACGGUACCUAACCAGAAAGCCACGGCUAACUACGUGCCAGCAGCCGCAGUAAAAC
rnacentral:rRNA from 1 species